rnacentral:rRNA from 1 species
AUUGAACGCUAGCGGCAUGCCUUACACAUGCAAGUCGAACGGAGUGGGGAACGGGUGAGUAAUGUAUCGGAACGUGCCCAGUAGCGGGGGAUAACUACGCGAAAGCGACGCUAAUCCCGCAUACUAUUGCAACGGCCGAUGUCGGAUUAGCUAUUUGGUGGGGUAACGGCUCACCAAGGCGACGAUCCGUAGCUGGUUUGAGAGGAUGACCAGCCACACUGGGACUGAGAGACGGCCCAGACUCCUACGGGAGGCAGCAGUGGGGAAUUUUGGACAAUGGGGGAAACCCUGAUCCAGCCAUCCCGCGUGUGCGAUGAAGGCCUUCGGGUUGUAAAGCACUUUUGGCAGGAAAGCGGUACCUGCAGAAUAAGCACCGGCUAACUACGUGCCAGCAGCCGCGGUAAUAC